UAUUAACUCUGGCGGCGUGCCUAAUACAUGCCAGUCGAGCGAACAGACGAGGAGCUUGCUCCAUUGACGUUAGCGGCGGACGGGUGAGUAACAAGUGGAUAACCUACCUAUCAGACUGGGAUAACUUCGGGAAUCCGGAGCUAAUACCGGAUAACAUGUUUAACCGCAUGGUUCAUCAGUGAAAGAAGGUCUUUCUGUCACUUAUAGAUGGAUCCGCGCCGCAUUAGCUAGUUGGGAAGGUAACGGCUCAUCAAGGCAACGAUGCGUAGCCGACGUGAGAGGGUGAGCGGCCACACUGGAACGGAGACACGGUCCAGACUACUACGGGAGGCAGCAGUAGGGAGUCUUCCGCAAUGGGCGAAAGCCUGACGGGACAACGCCGCGUGAGUGAAGAAGGGCUUCGGAUCGUAGUACUCUGUUAUUAGGGAAGAACAAAUGUGUAAGUUACGAUGCACGUCUUGACGGUACCUAAUCAGAAAGCCACGGCUAACUCCGUG
rnacentral:rRNA from 1 species